CAUACCCCCGCUCGCAAUCAUCUCCCCAAAUCUCUCGAUAUAGCAUUAUAAUCGCCGGCCAUGCCAGAGCUCUGCUUCCCACCUGAGUCGCCUCGCCGCCAGCUCGCUCACCAGAUCCCCUGCUCCGCCGCCGUCUCACCGCGACACCUCUCCGCUCCGCGACCACCCCGGCCACCGCCGCGACCUCGCAGCUCCACCUCACCAGCCCGCUCCAUCCGCCUCACAUCGGUGGACCGCAGCACCCAGCCUCCUGCCCCAUUGUUCCCCACUCGAGCCUCCCCGCCGAUCAGCAUGGCUACCACACAGUCCACUCCACCGACACUACCCUGUCAGAUUCUGCGGAGUUUUCUCAGUCGCUAGGCUAUCCCAUCUACUGAAUCGGCUGCAUCCCCAUCGAUUUGGAUCGGCCGGCCGGAGUAUUGGCCAUUGGAUUUCUAAAUUGCGGCCCUAUUUUGAAGCUCCCCACCCCUGAAUCAAAGCUGACAUCAACAAUGACUAAAAAGGAGUCGAUCAUGCUACAGAGUCGAUAUUCAGCUGGUCGGUUACAUGAUAUUGUCAAGGGUCUCCCACCGAGAAGGAAAUACCUCAUUUGCAAAAAAUGGGAGAAGCUUCAGCUGCAUGUUUUGUGCCACAUGAUGUCAACCAUGCACCAUUGGUUUCUCAAAAGCCUUGCACGGACCUCCCCAUAGAAUGGCGGCGGAGGACGUGGUGGAGACUUUGGCGGAUAACGACCGAAGCCCUCCCUAAGGAUGCGCUUGCUGACGUAGUGCGUGAGUUCGAGCUUCUGCAACCUACCACUACCAGGAUACUGCCAUGUUGCGCUAUUAGAUGGCUACAAUGUCCCUUGCUUCCGUCAUAGUGGCAACAAUAUUUAUUCGGCAACAUUUCGUGUUUGCGUUCCCAAUUGCGCUGCUGAACUCAUACCCUUGCUUUCCAGGCAUCUUAUGCAUGGGCCUUGUAACAGUUUUUUGUAUGUAAUUUUUUCAUUUGAAAAUAUACCCUUGCUUCCCAGCCAUCUUAUGGGUGGAUCUUGUAACAAUUUUUCUUAUGUAAUUUUUUUGUAUUUGUA